CUGAUUUUUGCACUUAUAGUUUUGCUGUUUUUCUCUUCUCGUGAUAAGACAGACCACAUUAUAAAAACAUUAUACAGCUUUUUUUUUUUGUUUUUUUUACUCAUUCCUUUGAAACUACUUCUAAGGAACUAGAAAAAAAAUGAGAACUACACACUUGUGUCUCCCUGUUUUCAUGGAUUUGGAUUUCUAAAUAAUCGAGUAGUUUAGCCCUGUUCCAUUAAUUUACAUGUUAGUCCGUUUAUUUGAUACCCAUAAAUUGUUAGAUGGUAUGAAGGUAGAAAUUAUUCCAGCAGUUUGUGACUUCCUCAUAGGCAUAAUCUUAUAUUUUCUGGUGAAGUCUGUACAACUAUGUAGCAUGGGUACUUCUUCUGGGUUACGUACUCGUACCCGCACCCGUACCCGAUACGAUACGUAUCCUGUAUGGGUACGCGUACCCUUUCCAAAAAUUUCAAAAUCUUGCCGUUUUCUGUCCCAGUACCCGAAUCCGCACCCGUAUCCGUACCCGUCUAUGUGCAACCUAGCUGUACAAAGAGAUGGAGUGUAUAACCUUUCAAAAGCAAGAUAUUGAAUAUAUGAAGGAGAGAGCAGAAGCUAAUGUAGAUAUUAAAUAUGUUUUCAACAAGAUAGAUAUUUGCUAUGCAUCGAAAACCUCCAUUUAAGGGGCCACGAUGACAAGAAGCUAAUACAUGGUAGUUGUGUUGAAAAGCUCAAAAUUUAAUGCUUGAUUACUAGUGAGAUUUUGGAUUGUUAGAGGAAUGGCUUUAAGUAUGUUCUUAGGUUUUCGAUGUGUAUGUUGUGAGGUGCCUCAUGUCCUUUUUUUUUUUUUAACUUUGGUAAUUUGCUACAACUGACAUGAACUUCACACCUUGUAGCAUGUACUACAAAUUGUGAAUGUUCCUCCUAAUUAAAGAUUUUACUCAAGAUGCUUAUGUGAAUGUAGUUUUCAAAUAUUAUAUGUUAUUGCUGUAUGCUUACAUGCAAUAUUGACAACUUUCUUCAUGGGGGACAAUCCCAAUUUCACUUUGUAAGUUUUAAGCGAUGAUAACAAGUAUCAAAAUUUAAUUAUAUCACAACUAAUUACAGAGUAUGAAAUACCAUUAUUAAUUUAAGAACCUAAUUCCAUUUUGUAAUGAACAAACCCGCCAAAUUACUUUCGUAACCCAUAACAUAAUUUAAGAGAAGAACCAUUUAUUGCUUUUAAUAGAUAAUUUAAAUGAGAACGGACUAGAAAUAAUAAUUCUAUCUAUAUAAUAAUAUUUAGAGUCCUAGAGUUCGAAAAGUCUCUCUCUAGGGUUCAUUAGGGCUCUCUAGGGUUUGAGUGGUAAGUUUUGGGUUUUUCCAUCAAGAUUUCUCGAUCCUUCGGGUGGUGAUUUUCUUUAUGGGGUUGAUUGUCAGCUCUCAUGGCUGAUGAUAUAGCAAAUAACUGAAGAAGAAGAUGCGACUGUUAAUUUUGAUAGCAUUGAAACCUCGAAAAAUAAUCUCAAUCUUGAACUGGCGCUUUAUAGGCAAGGUGUUAACAAUUAGAAAUUUCAAUUUCGAGGCGCUAAAGAAAACAUUGAACCAAAUUUGGGCGAUAGUUGUUUCGUCCAAUAGAAAAUGGGUUGUUAGUGGUGCGGUUUACGUGCCGCCGCGAUAAAGAAAAGGUCUUGCAUGGGAGACCAUGGACGUUCGAUCAAAACUUAGUUAUGAUGCAAGAAAUUGAUGAUUCCAUGCAACCUUCAAAUAUCAAACUUGAUCGCUUCCCUUUCUGGGCCAGAUUAUACAACCUACCAAUGGGGUGUUGAUCGGAGGGCCAUAUUCGAAGAGUGGGAGGAUGUUUAAGUGAUGUUAUGGAGGUGGAUACGUCGGCCCGCGUUUGCAUUUUUAUGGAUGUCAAGAAACCAUUGAGAAGAGUGCAACGGGUGUCUGUUAAGCAAGGGGUCUCGGCCCUUAUUGAAUAUAAGUACGAAAGAUUACCCACCUUCUGCUAUGGGUGUGGUUUGAUCGGCCAUAUCGAACGGGAUUGCCCGAUGCGUCAAGUUGAGGAUGAUAUGGUGGAGGAGCUUGGCUUCAGGCUUCACCAAGAAAAGGGAGGCUUAGGUUGGAGGAGGAGACUCGAAGUUUCUUGAAGCAUGCACGUUAUCACCGAUCAUCUGGUGCGUCAAACCGAGACCGAGGUGGCUCCGUCAAACAACAUGGUGUAGCAGCAAGUGGAAGUGGCCGAGUUCGUUGUGGAGCAUGGAGGAGGGUUACGAGAGGAGGGAUCCCGAAACUGUUUUUCAAGAAACAGUACCAACCCAUGUUACAGGUGAUUUACCUCUUUCUAACUUUUCCUUUACUGCAUCUAAGGAUAAGGGGGUUGAUAAAUGCAAAUCAAUGAAGGUGAAAAUUCAUUAAACAAAGGUGACUUAUGUAGACUAGCCACUUGGAUACAAUAAAUCGGUUCAUGAGGGGAAUAGUGGAGAGAAAAGCAAGUGGCCUGACCCAAUAUGAUUGUAAAUGAGGGCAUUUGUGAUGAUGCGGAAAAGAAGUGUUUUAAAUGUGCAGGCGAUGUUGAUGUUGGCAGUGUGUCUCAAACUGUCGAGGCGGAGGUUGGUGGUGACCAACCCCGCCGGGCAUUAUGAAUAUUUUAUGUUGGAACUGUCGGGGGAUGGGUAACCCCUCGACAGUUCGUCAACUCAGAAGAUGGAAUUCUUCCGUUACCCCCGACAUCCUGUUUGUGUCAGAGACAAUGAUAAAAAAAGAGAUAGCAGAACAAGCGAAGGAUCGUAUUGAUUUUUUCAAAUGCGUUUGGUGUGUCGAGUAUGGGUCGUUCUGGAGGGUUGUGUAUUUACUGGAAAAAUGAUACUAUAGAUUUCUCGUUGGAGUCUUUUUCCCAUAAUCAUAUUUGUGGCGACGUGGUUAGUAGAGGAGGAGUGAGAUGGAGGUUUUGUGGAAUUUAUGGUUGGUCGGAGGAGUCGAAUAAGUACCUAACAUGGGAGCUUAUAAGGCGUUUAUGUGCUGAAUGUGAUGGUCCAAUAGUUUUUGGAGGGGGUUUUAAUGAGAUACUGCCGUAUGGGGAGAAAGAAGGUGGUGCAGAGAGAGAUCGAAGGGCAAUGAGGGAUUUCCGAGAGGUUGUUGAUGACUGUGAUUUGCAUGAUUUACGUUUUGUUGGUCAAUGGUAUACAUGGGAGAGGUGAUAGGCCGGAGACGAAGAUUAGAGAGAGACUGGAUCAUUUUCUCAUUUCUCAAACAUGGGUGCAGAGCAUCUUGUUAGAUACAAAUCGGAUCAUGCAGCGAUUGUGCUUAAGAGUGAGGUGCCUAGCUCCUCUAGGCAUCGAGAGAGAUGUUUUAAAUUUGAGACAUGAUGGCUUUUGGAGGAAAGUUGUGAAGAUAUUGUUCACUUGGGAGGGUUCGAUUGGCGAGACUAUACUGGGGCGGUUGGUGGUUGUUGCUCGCACCUUAGUUGGGUGGAAUAAGGAAGGGGAUCGUAGUUUGGCAAAAAGAGUCGAUAAGGUCGAGAAAGAGCUUCAUAAUGCUCAAAAGGAGGGGAUUUCAGAUAGGAAACCCAACAAAUGUGGGGAGCUUGAAGGAGAGCUUGAUAGUUUGAAUGUGAAAUUAGAAGCACAUUGGUAUAUGAGAUCGAGGGUGGCGGAAAUAAAAGAUGGGGACCGCAACACAACAUAUUUCCAUCAUAAGGCAUCGCAGAGGAAGAAACAAAAUAGAAUUCAGGGCCUUUAUGAUCCCCACGGCACAUGACAAAUUGAAGAGGAGGAAACUGAGACUCAGGUCGGGAAUUAUUUUCGAAACAUUUUCUCGUCGACCGAGCCUUCAGGUGAUAAUAUGGAUGAAGUGCUACAUGUUAAAUAUUCGGUUAUUGUUGAUUACAAUGCAAUACUAUUGAAAUCGUACUCAAAAGACGAGAUUUAUGCUGCAGCCAGAUGCACCCAUGCAAUAUUUUAUCAGCAAUUUUGGCAUAUAAUUAGAGACGAGGUAUUUAAGUUUGUUAGUAAUAUGUUGCAUAAUUAUUCCUCCUCGGAGUAUAUUAAGUUACUAAUAUUGCUCUCAUUCCUAAAGUUAAGUCUCCUACUCUUGUCUCUGAGUUUCGACCUAUCAGUUUAUGUAAUGUGUUGUAUAAAAUUGCCUCUAAAACUCUUGUGCUUAGAUUGAAAUAAUUCCUCCCUGAAAUUGUGACAGAAAAGUAGAGUGCUUUUAUCCCUGGAAGAAUAAUUAGUGAUAGCUCUGGAGAUAUUUCACUCCAUGAAGAAAAGGAAUAAUAGCAAGAAAGGCUUGAUAGCAAUGAAGCUGGAUAUGAGCAAGGCAUAUGAUAAAGUAGAAUGGGGUUUCCUCAUGAAGCUUUUAUUGACAAUGGGCUUUGAUGGGUGUGGGGUGAAUUUGGUGAUGAGUUGCAUGUCAUCAGUUUCCUACUCUUAUUAUUAAUGGAAGAGUUUGUGGGGCUGUCACUCCCUCACGAGGUUUGAGAUGACAGUUUGUUGUUUACUAGAGCCACCUGUCAGGAAUGCUUGAAAAUAGUUGAUAUUCUCAACAAGUAUGAAGCAGCAUCCGGCCAGAAAAUUAACUAUGAGAAGUUGGAGGUGUCUUUUAGUAAAGGAGUAAGCUGUUGCAAACGGAGAGAAAGCUUGAGUGGUAUUCUUCAGAUGAGGCAGGUUGACAAACACCAAAAGUACCUAGGUAUUCCAACUACUAGUGGGCGAUCGAAGAAGCUAGUGUUUAGAGACCUCUUAGAUAGGAUAUGGAAUGAGAGGGUGGAAGGAAAAAAUGUUGUCUCGUGCUGGGAAGGAGGUGUUGAUUAAAGCUUUAAUCUAAGCCUUGCCUACAUAUCUCAUGGGUGUGUACAAGAUUCCUGCGACAAUUGUCCAGGCUAUUCAUUCUGUGAUGGCUUGAUUUUGGUGGGGUAGGAAGGGUCAGGAAAGAAAGAUGCAUUGGCUUAGUUGGGAAAAAAUGUACAAGCCAAAGUGUAUGGGAUGUAUGGGAUUUAAAAUUCUAUCAGUUUUCAAUGAUGCUCUCCUGGGUAGGCAAGUUUGGCGCCUGUUGCAUGCAAAAAGUUCUCUAUUGGGUCGUGCGUUGAGGGCAAAAUAUUACCCUGAUGGUGAUGUGACGAAUGCUCGGUUAGGUUAUUCUAACAACUUUUCAUGGAGAAGUAUCUGGAGUGCGAAAAGCCUAGUGAAGGAGGGGAUUAUUUGGAGGGUGGGAGAUGGACGGGACAUAAAUAUUUGGAGUGAGCCCUGGAUCGGCGAUGAGAACGGAAAAUUCAUUGAAAAGAGGGUUUGAGUGCAGUACAUGAGUUGAUUGAUGAAGAGACGAACGAAUGGAAGGUUGAUUGUUUUGAGAGGAAUUUUGGGGAACAAGAUAAAAAAUGUGUCCUGUCGAUUCCAUUAAGCUCAAGAGGAGUGAAGGAUGAAUUGACUUGGGCUCUGACGAAAGAUGGCCUCUACUCGGUAAAGACGGCGUAUAUGUUAGGUAAAGGUGGAAAUUUAGACGACUUCCAUCGAGCUUGGGUUGUUUUGUAGGGGUAUUGAUGUCUCGCCUAAGGUGAGGCACUUUCUAUGGAGACACUGCACGAUGUUGCUGCCAACGAGAGAUAUGCUUAGAGCUCGUCACGUGAUUGACAACGGCUGCUGCCCAUGGUGUCCUAAUAGCUGGAAACGCAGCACCAUGCCCUUUUUGGGUGCCCGAGAAUCAGUGGGCAGUGGGUGGAGCAUGGUUGUGGAGCAACGGUAAGUGAAGAUGGCGAGGAGGGGGGAUGUGAGAUGGUGGAGAGAUGGUCAAAGCUCAAGAAGAUGGUUCAGCGUGGAUGUUAUUUGGCAUGGAAUAUUUGGGCUGAAAGGAACCGUUUUGUUUUUGACAAUACAAGCCAGCCAUUAGCGGUUGUUAGCCAACGAGUGUGUCGCCAGGUAGGGGAACACAAUGAGUACAAUAUCUGGAUUUAUGGCUAAGCAUAGCGGCGAUAGCUCGGGAUUCAUUGAGUGUUAGAAGGCAGCGAGCAUGGUGGCCCCCGGAUGUAGCGGAAUGUAAGCCUAUAUUGCACGCUACUCGCCUUGCCAGGUCUCAUGGUCUAUAUGACAUUAUAGUUGAGUCCGAUGCCCUCGUAGUUAUUUCUAGACUGUCAAAAGGUUCUCUAUUUUUUUCAGAUUUAGAUUCAGUUUUAGGAGAUGUCAUUUUGUUUGAGUAGGAACUUUAAUUCCAUUAGUUUCAAGCAUGUCAAGAGAGAUGGGAAUGCUUUUACCCAUAAUCUUGCUAGAGUUGUGCCAUUUGGUGUGGAGCCUGGGAGAACCAUUGUCCAAGGGAAGUCGCUCCUUAUGUAUUGAUGGACAUUUUGUCCCUUGAUUAAUGCACAUCUCUUUUCCCCUAAAAAAAAAGAAGAUAAUUUAAAUGAACAAAUCAUUUCUUAGACAAAGAACCUGGAAAA